GCACAAGCGGAGGAACAUGUGGUUUAAUUCGAUGAUACGCGAGGAACCUUACCUGGCUUAAAUGUAGAGUGCAUUUUUUAGAGAUAGAAAUUCCCUUCGGGGCUUUCUGCAAGGUGCUGCAUGGUUGUCGUCAGCUCGUGCCGUGAGGUGUCGGGUUAAGUCCCAUAACGAGCGCAACCCUUAUCGUUAGUUGCCAUCUGGUAAUGCAGGGGACUCUAGCGAAACUGCCACCGUAAGGUGAGAGGAAGGUGGGGAUGACGUCAAAUCAGCACGGCCCUUAUGUCCAGGGCUACACACGUGUUACAAUGGUCGGUACAGAGGGCAGCUACCUGGUGACAGGAUGCUAAUCUCGAAAACCGGUCUCAGUUCGGAUCGAAGUCUGCAACUCGACUUCGUGAAGCUGGAUUCGCUAGUAAUCGCGCAUCAGCUAUGGCGCGGUGAAUACGUUCCCGGGCCUU
rnacentral:rRNA from 1 species